AUGGAGACAUCUGAAAGUGAACACAGGCCUAUGGAAGUGCCACAGUUGAGUGCUUUAAAUGACCUUGAUGUUCAAAUGGACAAAGAAAAACGUGUUGUGAAAUUAACUCCUAAAGCAUUUGUUGCAAAGGUUGAAACAUUACAGAGUGAUAGAAAGUCUGUGUUAAUUAAAGCUACUAAUUUAAGAAAAAAUAUGCAAGGUCUGAUGCAACAAAGAAAUGUGAAAGAUGUACAAAGUGCUUUUGAUGAUCUUUUAAAUUUGUGUGAUGAAGCAAAAGGUAUUCAUGGUUCUUUGAUGGGUAUGUUACCUGAAAGUGAGAAGGAAAAACAUGACACAUGGUUUAAAGCAAAAAUGAUUGUGAAUAAUGAUUUUAUUGCUGAAGUCAAAAUGUGGGUAUCAUGUGCUGAGAAUGAAGUUAGGUCUACUUUAAAUGAGGUCAUGCAUGACAAGGUUGAUGAUGUUGAUCCACAUGAUAGUAUUUCAAAUGUUGGUAGUAAACGUUCAAGUAAAGCGAGUACAUGCAGUAGUGUUUCUUCUGCAAGAGUUAUAGCUGAGGCAAAUAAGGCUGCACUGCUUGCUCGUAUGGCAAUGUUAAAGGAAAAACACGCUUUGGAGGAGCAAGAGCAGAAGAUAAAGAGGAAAAAGGAGCAACUGGAGUUGAAUGCAAUGCUAGCAGAAUCUACUGCUAAACUUGCAGUUUUACAGGCCUCUGAAUGUCACAGUGUUUCUAAAGCCUCUUCUAAUAUGCAUUCUCAAUUGGAAAAGGAAAGGGAGAAAGCUUCCUCAAUUAUAUUGAAUCCAAUGGCAGAGGAGUUUCAAUCUGCUGUAUGUAGUAAAAUGGAAACCCAAGUAUCAGUAGUGGAUCCUCCUUUGCCAUCUUCUGUGCCGUAUCAGGACAUUCAUCAGCAGACGUGGCAGGAAUGUACGGACUUAGAAAGAUGGAGUUCCCAGCAUAUACUAGGAAAAACAUCAGUUCAACCUCAUGGACCUCUUGCAUCGGAUAGAAUUUCUCAGCAUGAAUCAGUUCAACCUCAUGGACCUCUUGCAUUGGAUAGGAUUUCUCAGCAUGCAUCAGUUCAACCUCAUGGACCUCUUGCAUUAGAUAGGAUUUCUCAGCAUGCAUCAGUUCAACCUCAUGGACCUCUUGCAUCGGAUAGGAUUUCUCAGCAUGCAUCAGUUCAACCUCAUGGACCUCUUGCAUCGGAUAGGAUUUCUCAGCAUGAAUCAGUUCAACCUCAUGGACCUCUUGCAUCGGAUAGAAUUUCUCAGCAUGCAUCAGUGCAACUUCAUGGACGUCUUGCACCUGAUAGGAUUUCUCAACCGACAUUAGUUCAGUCUCAUGGACAUCUUGCAUCUAAUGUGAUUUCUCAGCCACAAAUCGAGUGUCAGGGUGGUGACAUUGUCACCAUAAUGCAAAGACAAAAUGAAAUAACCGCAGCUCUUGUCCAUCAGCAACGCUGCACAUCUUUACCAGCCAGAGACAUUCCCUUGUUUGAUGGAGAUCCUCUUCAGUAUGUUUCAUUUAUUAGAGCAUUUGAAAAGGGAGUAGAGGAGAAGGCAAGUCAUAGUGAUUGCUUGUAUUAUUUGGAACAGUUUACUAGGGGGCAGCCUAGGGAGCUGAUUCGCAGUUGUCUUCACAUGACCCCUAACUCGGGCUAUACCAAGGCAAAACAGUUAUUGGAGGAACAUUUUGGCAAUAAGUAUAAGAUCGCCACUGCUUAUUUAGAAAGAGCCUUGUCUUGGCCCUCAAUAAAGGGGGAGGAUGUUAAUGCUUUGCAGUCUUAUGCUCUCUUUCUGCGUGGUUGUUGCAAUGUCACUGAGGAGCUGCAGUACCUUCAGGAGUUAGAUAUGCCAAGCAAUAUGAGAGUCAUUAUAUCUAUAUUGCCUUUCAAGCUCAGAGAACGGUGGAGAGUUGUUGCACAUAACAUUCUGGAAACUACUGAAUGCAGAGCUUUGUUCAAAGAUCUUGUUCAAUUUGUUGAAAGACAGGUUAGUAUCCUAAUGGAUCCUUUGUUUGGUGAUAUUAGAGACUUGCCAACUAGCGUGAGGCCUUUUAAUCGGUCAAAGCUACGUCCAGAAGGUAGAGUUAAAGGAAACAUCUUUGCCACUACCGUUGCACCUGUGGAAUCUGGGGAAACUACUAAGAACAUGAGAAGAGAAUUGCCAUCAAAUAAAUCUAAAGUAAUUCCAUUAUGUUUGUGUUGUGCUAAGCAUCAUGUAUUGGAGUUCUGUCCACAAUUUGAAAAGAGGAAGCAUAGGGAAAAGAUGGAAUUUCUAAAGGAGAAAGAGCUUUGCUUUGGUUGCUUAAGUGCUGGGCACAUGAGUCGUAACUGUGGCAAGCGGUUGACUUGUAGGAUAUGUAGUCAGCACCAUCCCACUGUGCUUCAUGUAGACAGAAAUACAGCCAACUACAACCGAGCUUCCAAGGAGUCAGAGGCACACAAGUUCUUGGGAUCGACUGAAACAUGUGGUCAUACAGGGGCCGGAAAGGAUCGCUGUCUUCUUUCUAUCUUACCAGUUCAAGUCAAGGCCAGUAAAGGAGAUCAUAUACUCCAGACGUAUGCAUUCCUGGAUCCUGGCAGUUCGGCGACCUUUUGUACAGAAAGCCUUAUGCAGCGGCUCAAUCUUUCUGGUAGAAAAACUCAGUUUCUGUUACAAACUAUGGGACAGGAAAGAGUUGUACCUGCAUACAUACUUUCAGGUUUGGAAGUAUCUGCUAUUAAUGGUAGCAUCUUCUAUCAGCUUCCACAAACACUUACACAGAAACAAAUGCCCGUAAGUUCUGAUAACAUUGUAUCUAAAGGAGAUUUGUCCAAAUGGCCUUACUUGGCAAAGGUUAAAGUUCCCCGUAUAUGGGGAUGGCCCUUAUGCUAUAAGAACGGCAUUAGGUUGGGUCAUCAAUGGUCCUUUGAAUGCAGGCAGCCUUGA
ensembl:lncRNA